UCUUGUUUGAUUAUGGAGGUCAAAUUUAACGUCAUGCUACAAUAAAAAUAAUUGAACCAUAAGGUUUUCAAACAAUUUAUGAAAGGUUUUGGAAGUCAAAAUUUUGUAAGCGUUUCACACAUAUGAAACUUUUUAUUUUCAAGUUAAAGAGGGAGUUGACAAUUUAGAAAUGCUGCACUUAAAAUUUUUUUUUGUAGAUGUCUUACAAAUAAACCCGUGUCGGAAAUUACAUAUUACCGGGUAUAAAGAAUAAACAUGUCUUCGGUGAUUCAGGCUAGUUUGAAAUAAUAAGAAAUGCUGUAGUUACAAGUGACUAAUGUGCAACAGAGACCACAAUAUGGAACUACUGUGCAAGAUACCUAAAAUAUGCCCCUGUUAUAUCUGGGAAUGUGUCUAGUAGUAGGACUAAACUUUUAAAUAAAAUUAAUUGUUCA